rnacentral:tmRNA from 1 species
GGGGGCGUAAGGAUUCGACGGGGGUUGUGGGAGCAGGAGCUGCAGGUUCGGGACCAUGGCCCGGUUAAAACAUGGAACGGCUAUAAACGCCAACGAUAAUCUAGCUUACGCUGCUUAAUCAAGCAGUGCGUCCCCUCCCUUCCUGACCGGGGGCGGGAGCAGGGGCGUCGACAAACCGGUCUACCGCUGCAAGCGGUUGCUCCACCGCUGCAGGGGGAAUCACAACGGAGCCAGCAGCGAGGGAUCCCGCUCCGGGGAGCCGGCGCUGCGAGACAAAAACCGGAGCUAAACCUGUAGAGGUUUCUGUAGCCUGACCUUCGGACGCGGGUUCGAUUCCCGCCGCCUCCACCA